CGUACUGCACUGCAUAGCGCUGCCCUAGCUACAGCAUUAGGGUGCUAUUCUGCACUGCAAUGCGAUGCCUAUUCCAGAAAACCAUACCUAAAAGCGUAACGACACAGUGAAGCUUUUGACAAAGUCGAGUCGACCACGGGCACUUUUGAAAUUGCGAAAUUGUGUGGGGUGUGUUGCAUCGACCUGCUGAAACAAAAAAAAGUCUAGGGGCCUUAUAUAGAUUUUUUGCCCUAAAGAAAUCUAUUAUCAUACAUUAGUGGAGUGUAAAGAAGGACCGAAUGACAUUUUCAAAAAGAAGUACUCAAAACCGACUGCUGAACGGAGCCUCUUUGCCUUUCCCAUGACGGUAGGUUCUUCCGGUCUAUCAAUUUAACAACAUUCCUCAAAAAUUGGUAGCAGAUGACCAAACCUUAGCAAGACUCAUAGAUUUGCUAUUUAUUAUAGGAGAUAUUAAUAUUAAAUUACAGGCAAAAUCAGAAGGGCUUGCUAAUAGUAAGGUAGUCAAGCAAAGUAAUUUUCUAAAUAUUUAACGGAUACACAGUAGCCUGAUUCUAAAAACAUUUAAUAGAAACACUUUGAGCUCGUCCACGUUUGAAGAAGCCACAACAACCUAAAUAUGUGUUAAACAGGUAAGUAAGUACUCGCUUAUGCCACCGCCUACGACGGUGGUGCUGUUGAAUAACUGAUCUUCAGAGACACUAGACAAACUCUUUGAGGCGCCUUUCACUCGCAAGUCUAUGCUCAAAGUGAAUCACACGCUUCACGGCUGAAGAGUCUAACCGGAUGUGACGUGCUUUUAAAGUCGGAAGUACUUACAGUUAAGCGCUGAACCUCAACUGACUGCCAGUGACUGGCGGAUUGGCACGAGUGACUGCAGGUUUGUAAAGGCCACCAGCUACGUUGAGCUUUAAUGCAACAGCAACAGCAGCAGCCGCAACAACUUGGCAUGUGCUACUUGCAGCUACUUAAAUUUCGACAUUAAGAGUAUAUGUAUGUAUAACUGUAUGUACAAGAAAUAAAGAGCAGCAAAGUUUAGAAAGAUGUGGUCGUCUUUGAAGGGGUAGGUGCAAAAAAAAGAAAUGCACUGAAGCUUGCAUGUUGCAUGGCAGUUUUAUUACAAAAUGUUUCCGCCCUCAGCAGGCGGCGUGGGUAACAAUGCGGGGGAUACAUGAAGGAGCAAAAAUAAUUUGUAGAAAAGCGUUGCGGCGGGUAUGAAUUUGAUGCCACGCCCCUUGUCUGUCUGCAUCGAGUAGCACUUUAACGAUUUUAAUGUUUUUUUUUUUUUGUUUUCCUUGAGCACAAGAAUUCGUUUGUGGCAUGCAGCGUGGCAACAAAGGCGCGUAAUAAGCAACAUUACAGCGAACCAGCGAUUUAUACGCGGGUUUUUCACUAUUCAAUGCAUUUCUCACAAUAACAAUACAUACAAAUAUUUUACUCCAUCAGCUAGUAGUUAGCAAUCAAAUUGCUGUGAAGCUAUUUUAGGAAGGAAUUUAUUGGUGAACAUAUAUGGCAUUAUAUAGUGUGUGUGUAUAUAUAUAUAUCAAUAUUAACCGCAAAAACAACUUGAAGACUUGCUUAAUACUCAAAAUGAAAUAAAAUUUCGUUUCAGAAAACUCGAUAUGCCAAUGAACGCCAAAAAAGAAAAAUUUGGCAUUAAUUUCUUGGAAGAUUUGGAGAAAGAUGUGGGUGUCUCGAAGAUAACUAAACUAAAUGGUACUACUAAAAUUGUAGGCAUUCUCGAUCCAACUAACAACUGGAGCAGAAAAUGGCAAAUCUCUGAGUGAACAUAUUUCAUCUACAAUUUCGAUGAAAUCCGUGACGAAUUAAACUUGCAGUAACCUAUAUAUUGAACUCUUCUCAAAUGUAUUCUUCCCAAGUCAUCAAAAGCUUCAUGUUUGAAGCUUUUAAUAGUGAUAAGGGCAAUACUUCAUAAAGCUCAUAAAGUCACACAUUAAAUUAAAGAAAUAAUUCAAAUAAUAAAAAUAAGUUAAUAAAGGUUAAUGAAGUAUUUCUUAAAUUUCUACCGACUCUUUCUUCCAUACACGGUGUAUUCAAAAAGGAUUAAGGAUAUAAGGAAUUAUACUUAUUUUUUGAACACAUCUCGUAUACACAUAUAGGUUAGCUAGCGCUUAUCUUGUUUGUACAGUACUUGAAAAGUAGUGUACAAAACAGACAUAUUAUUGUUGCCUCUACCUAAAAGAAGCUUCAAAUAUAGAUCUGAAGAAGAACGAAUACAAUAAAACAAAAAUGCUUGUGUGAAACCGAAAAUGCACUAAUUGGUUUUCAAUGGAAUAAACUGCAUUUGACAUUACUAAAGACUGUACUUUUCACUACGAGAUUCUUUAUUCUAUUCGACGAAGUACUUCAAAAAAGUGCCAAUGAGAGUACAUGUUCAUAGCAAAGAAGAUGAAAAUUGCGACCUGCACCUUGCCCGCCACACAGAAAUUGCAUACUCGAGGCGCCUCCGUAAAUUUCUUCAAACAUGAAGAAUAUCUAAUGUAUAAUAAUAAAAAAAUUUGAGAAGACUCUUCAAAAACAUAAGAAUAAAUCCUAAACGUUUCAUUUCAAUCAGACAUUUCUUUCCUUUCCAAAAAAAUCCUUGAAAACAUAGAUUUUUUGAAGCCUCUAAAGCAGACUCCCCCCUUAAGACAAUUAAGGUUUCAUAAUUCGAUCAACUUAAUCUGUAUCGCAGUUUGGUUUGCUCACAGUAGACGUCAUAAAUGCUAACGGUUAUUUAAAAAUUACUGUAGCUUGCUGAAAUUUAUACUGAGUUGAUAAUGACCUAACGAAGUGGUCGGAAGUCUCUAUAUUGGGGGUGCAUUUAAGGUUUAAAGGUAAGAUAAACGUUCUUACGUAACGUUACAAAGAGCUAACAUUUCGGAAAAAAAAUAAAAAGGACUACAAUAAAAGAAAGAAAAAUUAUGAGGAGGAAAUCACGAAAACUCCC